rnacentral:rRNA from 1 species
GAUGAACGCUGGCGGCGUGCCUAAUACAUGCAAGUCGAGCGAACGGACGAGAAGCUUGCUUCUCUGAUGUUAGCGGCGGACGGGUGAGUAACACGUGGAUAACCUACCUAUAAGACUGGGAUAACUUCGGGAAACCGUAGCUAAUACCGGAUAAUAUUUUGAACCGCAUGGUUCAAAAGUGAAAGACGGUCUUGCUGUCACUUAUAGAUGGAUCCGCGCUGCAUUAGCUAGUUGGUAAGGUAACGGCUUACCAAGGCAACGAUGCAUAGCCGACCUGAGAGGGAGAUCGGCCAGACUGGAACAGAGACAGGGUCCAGACUCCUACGGGAAGCAGCAGUAGGGAAUCCUCCGCGAUGGGCGAAAGCCGGACGGAGCAACGCCGCGUGAGUGAUGAAGGUCUUCGGAUCGUAAAACUCUGUUAUUAGUGAAGAACAAAUGUGUAAGUAACUGGGCACAUCUUGACGGUACCUAAUCAGAAAGCCACGGCUAACUACGUG